UACGGAGGAUGCAAGCGUUAUCCGGAAUUAUUGGGCGUAAAGCGUCCGUAGGUGGCUAAUCAAGUCUGCUGUCAAAGCGUGGAGCUUAACUCCAUAACGGCAGUGGAAACUGGUGAGCUAGAGUGCGAUAGGGGUAGCAGGAAUUCCCAGUGUAGCGGUGAAAUGCGUAGAGAUUGGGAAGAACACCAGCGGCGAAGGCGUGCUACUGGGUCUGCACUGACACUGAGGGACGAAAGCUAGGGGAGCGAACAGG
rnacentral:rRNA from 1 species